rnacentral:rRNA from 1 species
UUUACAAUGGAGAGUUUGAUCCUGGCUCAGGAUGAACGCUAGCGGCAGGCUUAAUACAUGCAAGUCGAGGGGCAGCAUGACUGUAGCAAUACAGUUGAUGGCGACCGGCAAACGGGUGCGGAACACGUACGCAAUCUACCCAAAACUGAUGAAUAGCCCUCCGAAAGGAGGAUUAAUACAUCGUAACUUA